rnacentral:snoRNA from 1 species
AUUGGACCACAAAGUUUGGAGAUCUCGCNGUUUAACAAUUAAUAUCUGAGGUUAAGUUCCGGAGUGCAUACAGUAAUAUGUGUUUGUCGUACUCCCCAUCGAUGUAUGUUGUCGACUGUGGGCAGUAGCAUUCACACCACUUUU